CUGCAGUGAAGGCACUUGUAGC
rnacentral:ncRNA from 4 species